GACAGAGGCCUCGAGCGUUAGGCGGAAUCACUGGGCUUAAAGCGUGUGUAGGCGGUUUUCUAAGUUUGGUGUGAAAUCUCCCGGCUUAACUGGGAGGGUGCGCCGAAAACUGGAAGGCUUGAGUAUGGGAGAGGUAAGCGGAAUUCCUGGUGUAGCGGUGAAAUGCGUAGAUAUCAGGAGGAACACCUGCGGUGUAGACGGCUUACUGGACCAUAACUGACGCUGAGGCACGAAAGCGUGGGUAGCAAACAGG
rnacentral:rRNA from 1 species